AUAGCACAUCAGCAGAUGGUCAAACACUCAAACUGACGACGAAGCUUGCAAGCACCAUCGAUGAUCGAUCUCUCUGUUGCUGUGCGUCUUCCAGUGGUGUAGAGGCCGAUGGCAAGUGAUGGAUGGAGAUGACACGUACGAAAUUCUGGGCGGCGCCCAAAUUCGUCCGCCGACCGCGAGAUUCUGGGCGGCGCAGACCCAUCCGGCGAGAUGGACGCGGACGGAGGCGAUUUUCUGGGCGGCGCGGCGAGGGAGACGGCCGCCGGCCUGGGCGCCGCGCCGAUGGAGUCCCCCGCCGGCCUGGCCGCCGCGGAGAUGGAAGGGGUGGCCCCCGCCGGCCUGGCAGCCGCGCCGCGGGCGGCACCCGCCGGCCUGGCGAUUCGAGCCUGCUGAGGUUUGUUCCUGGAUAUGCAAGGUCUCCCUUGGGCAAGUUUGUAAUAGGUGGUGGCAGUAACAUGUCUGACUUUACCUAUGUGGAAAAUGUGGCUCAUGCCAAUAUUUGUGCUGAGCAAGCCUUGUGUUCAAAUGCAGCUUCUGUUGCUGGGAAGCCAUUUUUUGUUACCAAUGAUGAACCUAUGGAAACAUGGGAGUUUAUGAAUUGCAUAAUGGAAGCUAUGGGCUGUCAGAGGCCCAGGAUUAAUCUUCCUGCCAAGAUGUUAUUGUCUGCGGCCUUGUUCUCCAAUAUGAUUCGUCACAGGCUUCCGGCCUGUUCGCUUCAGCUUAUUCAGCCGGCUUAUCAGCCAUCAAACAGUAUUUUCCUCUCACAAUAAAUCAGCCGUUUUGGCUUUUCAGCCGGCUUAUAAGCUGAAGCGAACAGGCCCGAAGUUUUCAAAUGUUUUCCACUCCUCUUCUGCAUCCAAAUACAAUAUACUUCUUGUCAUGCACAAGAACUUUUAACACUUCAAAAGCUAGAAGAUUGCUUGGGUACUACCCAAUUGUAUCAUUGGAGGUAUUUGCAUUUUUGUACAGCAUCAAGCUAUUGUUGAACUUUCAAUUCAGAUUUCUGAUGGGUCUUGUAUUGGCAUCCUUGUUCAUUGUCUUCAUAGUCUAUGAACAAUGCGAGGAAGAAAUUGACAGCUUGGUGUCAAAUGCUUCUUUCAAAAUCAAGUGGCUAAUGGACAGAGUAGUCGAACGCAUGCCGGCGUCUUUGAAGGCAUAUAUAUCCUAGAGCAGACAUCCAUGAACAUGACCUAGUUAUGCUUUGUUGCUAGAACACAUUUCACAUACUUGAAGGUGUUGUUACCAUUGCGCUUCUGUCUGUAAAUUGGCCUUAGUUCCUUUAUGCUAACAUGCUUUGUACGCUA